CACAUCGUACAACAGUACGAUGUACUCAUUUUUGAGUGCCU
rnacentral:rRNA from 1 species